CCUGGGAACCACUCUGGCUGGAAAUCCUGCGGCUUUUUUGGAGGGUGUGAACUCUCCUGAGAUGGACCAGAAGUGCUGUGUGCUCUGAUGAAAAGAGUUCUUUCCAGAUAAGCAGAUAUACUUGGGGCUGCGUGGAGUGGAUACCGGUCCCAGUUUGCUACCAGCAAUCCCAACCCAAGAUGCAGAAAUCAUGUAAGAGAGGAGAAAGCAAUAAGAAAACGGACUCCCAUCCCUCAAGGUCCAGAACCAUGCCUCUUCUCUCUGGCAAACUAGGACACCAGUAUACUGCCCAGCUUCCAAAACACAUAUGAAUGAUGGAGAAAGCCGCCCAGAUUUAACAAAAGCUGUGUGGGAGGAAGGAGAGAGCAAAGACACACUCAUCAGCCGGAAGACUUGGCUAAAUGACACAAGGAAAAGUGUGACUCCUGACCUCGGAGUUAGGCUUGACAGAGAAAUGCCUGCUGAGCAAAUGGGAUCUA